rnacentral:rRNA from 1 species
GCACCACAAGCGCGUGGAGCAUGUGGCUUAAUUUGACUCAACGCGGGAAAUCUUACCGGGUCCGGACAUAUCGAGGAUUGACAGACAGUUACCAUGCCCUUUCGAAAGGAGUCAGGUUUUAAACCUAAUGGCUCUUUCAUGAUUAUAUGAUAGGUGGUGCAUGGCCGUUCUUAGUUCGUGGAGUGAUCUGUCUGCUUAAUUGCGUUUCAAAUUUUUAUUUGAGGACCAGGUUUUGGUUUGGGUAGUGGUCCUACGAUGACUGUGAACUGUCAUGUCUUCGGAUGUGCGACUAUCGGUCUAGGAUCGCAUCUCAGCCCCUGGGACUCUUUUGAACGCAACGGACGUGAUUGCAACCCCUUGUUGAGAUUAGAGGAGUCUCGAUAUUCAUUGGCCAAACUUACCGCUUCGAGCUUGCUCGUGCAGUUUUGUUAGCCGGUGGAUAAACUCGGGGGACUGCUGACUAUAACCAUUUCUCAAAACA